rnacentral:rRNA from 1 species
UACCUUAAGACAAAAAUAAUUUAAGGCAAGCCCUGCCCAGUGAAAUCUUCAACGGCCGCGGUAUCCUAACCGUGCAAAGGUAGCAUAAUAACUUGCCUAUUAAUUAUAGGAUAGAAUGAAAGAGUAAACGAAAUAGGAGCUGUCUCUAUUAGCCCAAUGAAAAUUAUUUUUUAACUGAAGAAAGUUAAAUUCAACUGAAGGACAAGAAGACCCUAUAGAGCUUAAUUUAACCUACUAAAUAAGUAAAAAUUAAAUUCGGUUGGGGCGACCGAUGCUCUACAAAUCAUCACCCACAAAAAGAAAUAUACAUCUCAAAAAAGACCCUGACCCAGAUCAAAAAAACAAGCUACCUUAGGGAUAACAGGCUAAUCUCAUUAAUGAGUCCCCAUCUAUAAUGUUGGUUGGCACCUCGAUGUUGGCUUAGGGAAUCAAAAGGGCGCAGAAGCUUUUUAAGACGGUUUGUUCAACCAUUAAACCCCUA